CCUUGCAUUUGAAAGUGAUCGUGGGAUGCCAAUGCCCUAGUCACUAAGCCUGCAGGGACAGGAUGUAGAAAGCCUUUCCCCAUGUUUGGAAGGUCCCCUCCUGUCCUUGCAACCCUUGGUGAGUUCCUACA
ensembl:snoRNA SNORA71 Small nucleolar RNA SNORA71